rnacentral:rRNA from 1 species
GAUCAUGGCUCAGGAUGAACGCUAGCUACAGGCUUAACACAUGCAAGUCGAGGGGAAACGACAUCGAAAGCUUGCUUUUGAUGGGCGUCGACCGGCGCACGGGUGAGUAACGCGUACCCAACCUGCCCACCACUUGGGGAUAACCUUGCGAAAGUAAGACUAAUACCCAAUGAUAUCCCACGAAGACAUCUGAAUGGGAUUAAAGAUUUAUCGGUGAUGGAUGGGGAUGCGUCUGAUUAG